GACGAACCGUGCGAACGUUGUUCGGAAUCACUGGGCUUAAAGGGCGCGUAGGCGGGCCGACGCGUCCGGGGUGAAAUCCUCCCGCUCAACGGGAGAACGGCCUCGGAGACAGUCGGUCUGGAGGGGGGUAGGGGCAGGCGGAACGCUGGGUGGAGCGGUGAAAUGCGUAGAUAUCGGAAGGAACACCGGUGGCGAAGGCGGCACGCUGGGCCCGCCCUGACGCUGAGGCGCGAAAGCCAGGGGAGCGAACGGG
rnacentral:rRNA from 1 species